UUUAUACUAAGUGACCCAUAGGUUGAUGAGGCGGUGACCGUGGCGGUGGAGGAGGAGGAGGUAGCCAACGCUGUUUAUAUAUAUAUACAUAUAUUUAAAAAUAUUGGGACAUAUAAAAAAAGACAACUUUGUUCCGCAGAGUAGCUGUUGACAUUAUAGUUGCGCAGGAACUUUGACUCUAGAGAAUCUCGGGCAAAUCGCACAUCCCUGUGGUGGCGACUUUGCAUGCGGAUGUCAUCCAUAUCAACUUUCAAUGCCAGUUUCUGCGCCUACCAUGGUGACCACGGGUAACGGGGAAUCAGGGUUCCAUUCCAUACAGGGACCCUGAGAAACGGCUACCACAUACAAGGAAGGCAUCAGGCGCGCAAAUGACCCACUCCCGACGCGGGAAGGUAGUGACGACAAAUAACAAUACAGGACUAUUUAGAGGCCCUGAAAUUGUAAUGAGUCCAUUUGAAAUCCUUUAACUCUGAUCAAUUGGAGGGAAGUCUGGUGCAGAGUCACUGACCCGUGCAUGCUGCAGCUGAAA